rnacentral:rRNA from 1 species
CCCUUAGAUGUUCUGGGCCGCACGCGUGCUACACUGAGUGGGUCAGCGGGUCAGGUUGCGCGAAAGUGUUUCCUAAUCUUUAAAUCCGCUCGUGAUGGGGAUUGACGGUUGCAAUUUUCCGUCAUGAACGAGGAAUACCUUGUAAGCGCGGGUCAUCAUCCCGCGCUGAAUACGUCCCUGCCCUUUGUACACACCGCCCGUCGCUCCUACCGAUUGAGUGGUCCGGUGAGGCUUUGGGAUCUGAGCGGAAAGAGCGUUUCGCUGUUUCUGCCCGGAAAACUCAGUCGAACCUUAUCAUUUAGAGGAAGGAGAAGUCGUAACA